rnacentral:rRNA from 1 species
UACGCUCUGGAAACGGAGAACAAAUCCCGAUGUACAGGAAGGAGGCAUCUUCUUUCUGUGAAACAUCCUUUAGGGGAUGGGGCGCGGAUGGACCUGCGGUGCAUUAGUUGGUUGGCGGGGUAAAGGCCCACCAAGACGAUGAUGCAUAGCCGGCCUGAGAGGGCGGACGGCCACAUUGGGACUGAGACACGGCCCAGACUCCUGCGGGAGGCAGCAGUAGGGAAUUUUCGUCAAUGGGCGCAAGCCUGAACGAGCGAUGCCGCGUGAGUGAAGAAGGCCUUCGGGUCGUAAAGCUCUGUUGCGGGGGAAAAAAGGCAGCAUCAGGAAAUGGGUGCUGACUGAUGGUGCCCCGCCAGAAAGUCACGGCUAACUACGUGCCAGCAGCCGCGGUAAUACGUAGGUGGCGAGCGUUAUCCGGAAUGAUUGGGCGUAAAGGGUGCGCAGGCGGUCCUGCAAGUCUGGAGUGAAACGCAUGAGCUCAACUCAUGCAUGGCUUUGGAAACUGGAGGACUGGAGAGCAGGAGAGGGCGGUGGAACUCCAUGUGUAGCGGUAAAAUGCGUAGAUAUAUGGAAGAACACCUGUGGCGAAGGCGGCCGCCUGGCCUGUUGCUGACGCUGAGGCACGAAAGCGUGGGGAGCAAAUAGGAUUAGAUACCCUAGUAGUCCACGCCGUAAACGAUGAGGACCAAGUG